UACGUAGGGUGCAAGCGUUGUCCGGAAUUAUUGGGCGUAAAGAGCUCGUAGGCGGUUUGUCGCGUCUGCUGUGAAAACUGGAGGCUCAACCUCCAGCCUGCAGUGGGUACGGGCAGACUAGAGUGCGGUAGGGGAGAUUGGAAUUCCUGGUGUAGCGGUGGAAUGCGCAGAUAUCAGGAGGAACACCGGUGGCGAAGGCAGGUCUCUGGGCAUUAACUGACGCUGAGGAGCGAAAGCGUGGGUAGCGAACAGG
rnacentral:rRNA from 1 species